AUUUUGGGGGUGGGAUGGUCCUCCAUCACUUGAUGUUUUAGUUUACACGACUUGGACUAUCAAUGAAUGUAACAACAUAAUUUCUUGCUUAAUACAAAAAUUCAAACAAUGGUUCACAAAUCAUCUCAGAUGUGUGACCCUAAAUUCAUACAUUUCUCAUCAUUCUCAACAACAUUUUUUGUAUACAACAUAAUUCAUUUAAACAACACCAUAAAUCAAUUCAAUGUACAAUUAUAUAUUAUAUUUACAUUUAUAUUUAACAUUCAUAUUCAAUCAAUUAACAUAAACAUAAAUUAAGAAAAAAAAAUUGUUUGAGUGAAAAAUCAUUCACUUAAGCGAAAUAGGACCAAGAGCAAAGGUUGAGUUUGUACUCUAUUUUUGCUUGAGUGAAAAUAUCAAAAACUCAAUUGUAUUCAAUAGGACCAAACGGACCAAACUGUUUCCAAAAUUUUACUCAAAAUCAUUAUAAAAAGUUCAACUUUUAAAGAAAUUAAAAUGGUCAUCACAACUAUAAUUUGCUUAGUUACCAUACUCUACUGAUUUCAAUUCAACCUUGAUCAUUCAAAUUUAAUAUAAUCUCCAUCCACAUUGAAUACUAAACCUAAACUCACACUAAUACCUGAAAACUAUGGGAACUAACUUUACUCCUUUGAACUAUAUUUAAAAACCAAUUUAAGAAACUUCAUACCUUAACAUGCACAAUUUAACCACUCUAUCAACAUCUUAACACAAGUAAUGAGUUCAGGGUGUUAUAGAUCAAACACCCAUUAACUCAAAACUCACAAUUGCACCCAACUUAAACUCAAGAUAACAAUUCUUAUUCCAAACACAACAAAAGAAUUCACUUUAACUUUAAAGUCAAUUAACAAAGAAAUCUUCAAUUUAACAUGCAUUUGAAUUCUACUUCAAAAUCUAAAUAUGAAAUUGUAACAAAACAAUUAUUUUACUAAAUUCUCACAACUAAACUAAAUCAUGUUUCAAAUUCAUUAUCAAAAUAUCUCUAAGGAUAAUUUUCAUUACUUAUAAUUCCAUGCUUCCAAGUAAGUUCUAGCUAAAAGAGAAGAAUCACUUAAAAUCUAGAAACAACAAAUUAUUCAAAUAUAACAAAAAUUCAAUACAAAUUUUAUAGUUAAGAUUAUCACUUUUCUCAACCCACCAAGAUUCAUGAAAAAAUCUAAAAGAAAAAAAAAUAAUAAAGAAUUUUCAAAAUCAAAUAGUUACUUACUUUAAUUAAAAAACCGACUCAAAAGAAAAAAUUAUAGGAACCAAAAUUAAAAAUUUAUAAUUUUCUAAAUAGUAAAAGCAUAUUUAAUUUUGUUAAAUUUCAUAUUUAAAUUUCUAAAAUAUACUUUGCUACAAACAAAUGAAAUAAAUAAAUGAAAUUAUUACAUUUAGUAUGUUUAUUAUAUUUCAUAAGAUCAAUCAUGAUUACACGGUAUAUUCAAGAUUUUUUAUUAUGGUAUUUUCAGAAGAAAAAAAUAUAGAGUACUAAAAAUAAAGAUAAUUUUACACUGGUUAGUUACAAAUAUUAAUAAAUUAAUUGAGUCUUAUAAUAAUUACCUUAAAAUUUAUACCAGUAGUAACUUAUAACUAAAUGCCAAUAUAAAUACAAUAUCAUCUUAUUGAACUCUUAUUUAUUUUAUUCUUUAAGAUUGAUGAAAAGUUUAUCUUUUACAAACCUUUUGUGCAUGCAUAAUAAAAAAAAUCAUUGAUCUAACCGUUAUGGGUGACAUUUAUUAUAAAGGACAAUGCUAUGCUCAUAUCAUAUAUUCAUAUAUGCCCUCGUGAACUUGCUUUUCCCUUUUUCCUUUUUAACUACACUCGUGAGUCUAUUAAGCAUUGGAUUAAACUAUGGUGACGUGUAUUUCAUUGAAAUGCAUAUCUUAAAAUCGUAAAGAUUUUUAUCUCAUGAUAAAUUAUGGUACAAUUAAAAGUUAUUGACUAAAUGUUCCCAAAGUGAAGGACAAUGUACCCAUGAAUUUUCGAUUUUUGUUUAUCUUAUAAACGAGGUAUUCUAAUUAAGAGAUAAGAGAAAAAAAAAUGUAUUUUUAAAAUUUGAAUACGAUAACAUCAUUUUUAAUAUUUUGAAAUUCUUAAAACUAAAAAUCUCUCUUAAGAGAAGUAUUUAUUUAUUUUCUUGAACAAUAUUUACACAAAAUUUAUUAAAUAAUGUAAUUUCGAUUUCUAAUUCAGUAAUUUAAUUUUUCAUUAUUUUAAUAAUUUUUCCCGAUAAUAGAAAUAAAGUGUAUAAAAGAAGUGUAUUUUUGUCCCAAUUAAUGUAGGGAGACUUUUACGUUUUUUUGUUUUUUUAUUUGAAAUUUCAAUCGAUGAAAAGAAUGAAAAAUAUAAUUAAGUAUAUGUUUCCGUAAAGAUCUGGUGAAAAUAUGUACUAACUAAUCAUUCGAAUUAACAAACACAAUCUUAAUGUCUUCUGAUAUCUCGAAUGAAAUGAAAAUCAAUCUCAAUAUGCUUGAUCUUUUUAUAAAAGAAGAAAUUUGAGCUAAUAUGAAGAGUAACUUGAUUAUCACAUAUGAGUGUCAUCUGAGUGAUCUCUCCAAAUUACAAUUGUUUAAGUAACUAUUUAAGCCAAAUAAACUCACAAGUAGCUGAAGUCAUAACUUUAUAUUUUGCUUCAGCACUAGAUCUUGUCACAACAUUUUGUUUCUUGAUCUUCCAAGAAAUCAAAUUAUCACAAAUAGAAACACAAUAUUCGAAAGUUGAUCUUCUACCAAAUAAAAAUCUUGCCCAAUCAACAUCUGAAUAACAUACAACUCUAGUAUGAUUAUUGUGACCAUAUAACAAGAAUUUUCUAGAAGAAUCUUUAAUGUACUUCAAUAUAUAAAUGACUGCAUUCCAAUGAUCAACACAUGGGAAAUUAAAAAGAAUUGACUCAUCACACUAACUCCAAAUGAAAUAUCAGGAGGAGUAACAAUAAAAUGGUUCAAUUUUUCAACUAGUAUUUUCUACUUCACAGGAUCUGAGAGAGGCUCCCCGUGACUAGGUAGGAGUUUGACAUUAGGAUCCAUAUGUUGUUUUAUUUGAGAGAUAUCAUGGUGAUCACUGCUUGUAAGAACAAUAUUAUCAACAUGUACUACUAGAUAGAUACACCAACACUUGAGUAACACUAAAACAAUUAAUGAUCUACAUCACUACUUGUCAUACCAAAUUGUUGAACAACAUUACUAAACUUUCCAAACCAGACCCUAUGCGAGUGCUUGAGGCCAUAUAAAGUUUUGUGAAGAUAACAUACCAAUCCAGAAGACUCCCCUUAAGCAACAAAACCAAGAUGUUGCUUUAUAUAAGUUUCUUUCUGCAAAUCCCCAUUACGAAAAACAUUUUUGAAAUCAAGUUGAUAAAGAGGUCAUCUUUGAAAAGCUUUCAUGGCUAUGAAUAAACUAACAGAAAACCAUCUUUGCCACUAGAGAAAAAUGUAUCACCAUAGUCCAAACAAAAAAAUUGUGUAUAACCUUUAGCCACAAGAUAAGCUUUGAGACAAUCAAUAGUACCAUUAGGACCAACUUUGAUAGCAAAAACCCAUAUGCAACCAAUAAUAGAUUUCCCAUAAGGUAAAGGAACAAGUUCCCAAGUUCCACUAGUCUGAAGAACACUUUUUCAUCAAUCAUUGUUUGAUGCCAACCAGGAUGAGCUAAGGCAAGUAUAAAGAGUUUGAGAUAGUCGAUGGUAGCUUAAAGUAGUAUAAUGUGGAGAGUGAUUAUGGGUAGAACUUAUAACUUUAUGGAUGAUAAUUAGGAGAUUAGGUUCAACUAUUGGAGACAGAGGGGCGAAGGAGUUGGCACUGGAAGAGAGUCAUUUAGUGGACGAUAAGAAGUGUGAUAACAACUGUAAACUUGAAGAGGUGGUGGAGAAGGAGAAUCUUUAAGUACACUAGACACAACAAAAGGACCAAAGAACAUUGGAAUAUGUACUUGGUCAGAUGAACACACAUGUGGAGAAGAUAAAUACUUAAAAUGCAAAAAAGACUCGAUGAAGGUGACAUCUGCAGAAAUGAAAUAGCGGUUAAGAGAGGGUGAGAAACAUUUAUAUCCCUUUUUAGAUCUAAUGAACCCUAAAAGGACACAUUUGUGUGAUGUAGCAGAUAAUUUAUCAAGACCAUGACAAAAACUGUGAACAAAACAUGUAGACCCAAAAACUUUAAGUGGUUAGGGAUGAAGAAGUUCAUGAGAAAAUAGAAUAUAAUAAGAAAUUUUAUUCUCUAAAAAUGAAGAUGAGAUACCAUUAAUUAGAUAACAUGCACUAAAAGAGAUUGUCUUAAUGUAUCAAAUGAAGGAGUACUAGAUGAAGUAGGUAAACAAUAGAUGUUUGAGAUGAAGCAUUAGAAGAGACUAUAAAUGAAGAUUAGAGACAAAAGAAAAAACUCUAAAAUUCAAAUGGACUUCGACCUACAAGACAAAGUCAAGUUCAUAACAAGAAUGACGUGGUGAUCCUAUCGAUGCGACAAUGUUGUGGCAGAACAAAGACGAUAGUGAAAACAACUCUAGUGAGCAGUGAGUUCAUCAAGAAGGCAAAAAUAUUAACUUACCUCUAAAUACCAUAUUAAAAAAAACAGGAUAAAUAUCUUGUGUAAAAUACACACAUAGAGUUGUUUAUUUAUAAAUGAAAAUAAUAACAUAAUAGCAUAACAAUAACAUAAAUUAUAAUUCAACAAAAAUAUUUAACUUCUAUAUGACCUAUUACUAACCUUACAUUGUAUUUAAAGAAAAAAAGUUACAAAAAUCUAUGUGAUGUAUCAUUUUAAUAGUACUAAAGAGAAAAUACAACCAAAAUUAUUUUCAUUAUGGAUAAAUAAUUUAUGAAAAUCUUAUUAUGAUGAUGAAUCUCGUAACACUUGUUUAUUCUUAAGAAUGAGAGAAAUCUUUAAAACAAUAUUUUAAAAUUCUAAAUUAAGAGAUAAUAUAAAAGUUAUUUAGUCAUAACCAUUUCUUUGUCAUUUUCUAAAAAGCUUAAAAGGGUUUAGAAAAAAAUAAUAUUUAAUACAUGCUUUUGGAAAGAAAAUAACCAAAUAAUAUUGGCUUUGAUACCAAUAUACUUGAUGAAAAAACAUAUAUGUAACGAAGAUUUUUUUUAAAAGACUUGAUGAUUUUAAUCAAAUGGAAAAGAAGAAAGUGUUUCCUGGUUUAAUAUAUUAGGAGCUAUAACAGCGAGAUUUGAUUAUUUUAUAAACAAGAUAAUCGAGUUUCACACAUGAUACUCAAAUUGUUUUUUUUUAUAUGAAAAUAGAUUCACUAAAAUAGAAAAAAUUAAGUCACUUAAAUAUAAAUAGUUAGUUGGAAAUCUCUGUUAAUUUAAUGGAUAAUAACCAAUGAAUCUUGAUAAUUGAUCCAUUAAAUAUAUUUAAUAAUGGUCAUUCCAAAGUCUUAAAAUUAUAUCUCUCUUAAAAAGCUAUAACUAUGAAGUCCAACCUUAAAAGUUGAAGAUGGUAAGCUAUCUUGAAAAUAUGAUAAAAAUUAAUUAUCUUAUCUUUGUAGGAAAAAAUUUUCCUUUCAUUGGAACUUGUGAAAAAGAGAAAUGCAAGUAAAGAAAAAUAAUAACAUAAAGAGAAAUAAAAGAAUAAAUAUUCAUCAUAGUCUAAGAUUAAAAAUUAUAAAGAAUUAGUUAUGAUUUUUUCAAUAAUAAUAAAUAUGACAUGUAAUUCAAAUUAGUUAAUUGAAUUUUUCUAUAAAAUUUAUAACAUAUAUUAUUAGACGUGUGAGACUUCUCACAUAUAACUAUAUAGUUUUAUCUAAACCAUAAAUAUGAUUUAACAUCUCGAUAAAAAAAAAUACCUCGGUAAAGUUAAAUUAAAAAGCAAUGAAGGAGAGCUAAAAAUGAACUAUUUUAAAAUUAAUAAAAUAUUAUUAACUUGUCAAAUUUUGCCACGUCCAUAAAAGCUAGUUCUUAAAGUGGCAUGCUUUGGAAUGGUCCUCCACAGGGACCAGCGUCAUCCACAAACGCCAUUUAUUAUUUUUUAGUAAUGCCAAACAUCGUGCAAUGCAUUGCUUUGUUUACAUUAUAAUAAUCAUUGUUCUAAUAUUUUGCAACUUUAUAAAAGUGGACGAUGACGACGAAAUUACGUGGAAGAGAAGGACAUAUAUCUUAAACAUAUUAAUUAAGAAGUUAUUAAAUACGAUUUAAGUAUAAAAAGAAUACAAUAUGAAUAUGUUAAUAACAUUUAAUAUUUUUAGCUAAUUAGUAAAGAUAAUUUUAGAAAGUAAUAAAUAUUAAAUUUUUAAGUUAUAUUAAGUGUACAAAUUAGUGUUUUAAUUAUGUAGUCAUUCAUUUAUACAUUUUAUAAUGUCAUUAUUAUUAUUUUAAUUUUCGUUUACUUUUCUCUAAUUUUUUGAAAAUCAUUCUCAUUUUUUUUUUCGAUGAAAGAGUACUAGUGAGAUAGUGGUAAGCAGAAUUGAUUUUCACAAAUCAGAAUUAAGUUUUUCUCUUUUUAAUAUCUCAACUUUUUUAUGGUUUAAUUGCAUAUGGAGUUUUAGUCGAAAACACGAAUGUCUGGUAGCAUAGGUUCAUGUUGAUAUCUUUAAUUUGUAAAUCAAACAUCAUGAAUACAAGUUAUAUUUUCUCUACUUUUUUUCAUAGUUUUUUUAGCAAUUCUAUAAAAAAAACACACACACACAAAAGGUAAGGCAACUGACAAAUUUACUUUAUAUUUAUUUAAAAAUUGAGUUGAAAUUAGAUUUCGAGUUAAAGCUCAAACGUGUUAAAAUGAUUUGAGAUUAAAAGUAUAAUUUGAUAUUAAAAUUGUUAAUAAAUAUUAAAUAAUUAAAACUUAAAACUUAAUAUCUCAUUAAACCGUUGAUAAGAUUUGAACAGUUAUACCUUGUAAAUUGAUAGUUUUAGUGAAUCAGGAUUUUUAACAUUAAACCUUUAACAAACUUUAACUUUUGAUUUCAGAAUUUUUUUUUGAUUGUUAGAUUAUAUAUAUUUACUUUAAAAGAUUUUUCAAAUAAAAAAAACUAUGGAAGCUGGAGCAACAACAAAAGUUGGCAAAGUAACUAAACUACAUUGGUAACCAUACAUACACACAUUUUAUUAUACUAUAUAAAAUUAAUAACGGAUGUCUCUCAUAUGUUCAAAUAACAACAAUAAUAAAAUAAAAUUUCAAAUUCCAAAAACAAAAAAUAAUACUAAUAGCAUGUUUGGUUUUCUAACCAAGAAUGGUACUAAGAGCAGCACCGACCAGAAUGGUUAGUGAGUACACUCCGAAACGCGAUUUCGACAUAGAUGACGCGCCGUUUGGCCGGGACGGCGUCGUUUCGUUUGAGGACGAUCCCGGCGAAGACGAUGAAGACGGGCUUGUUGCUGCCGGUGUUGAUUCUGAAGGAGGAGACGACAAUGGUGGCGACGGUGUAGUAGCCGGAGCGAAGGGGGAAGGUGGGUAUGAUGGAGGGAUGGUGGAUGGAUAGGGUGAUAGGGAAGGUGGGGAAGGUGGGGAUGAAGAUGAUGGAGGUUGGGUGACAGGGGAAUUGGAAUUUGGAGUUGGGGCAUAGGGGUAGGGUGAUUGAGAUGUUGGGGAAGGAGUGUUUGGAGGUGACGGAAUGUAGGGAGGUUGGGAAAUGGGAGAAGGAGUGGUGGAUGGUGGUGUGGAAAUGUAAGAAGGUGGCUGGGAUAUUGGGGAAGGAGUGGUGGAUGGUGGUGUGGAAAUGUAAGGUGGCUGGGAUAUUGGGGAAGGAGUGGUGUUUGGAGGUGAUGGGAUGUAAGGAGGCUGAGAUAUUGGGGAAGGAGUGUUUGGAGGUGAUGGGGUGUAAGGAGGCUGGGAAGUAGGAGAAGGAGUAUUGGGUUGUGGAGGCACAUAAGGUGACUGAGAAAAGGGUGAUGGGGUUAUUGGAACAAAGGGUGGUUGAUGAUGAGGGGAAGGGGUGUUUGGAGGUAGAGGAGCAUGGGGUGGAUGGUUAUUAGGGGAAGGAGCAUAAGUGGGAGAAGGUGUGUUGGGAGGUAUGGGAGCAUAGGGUGGUUGAGCUUUGGGAGGAAAGGGAAGAUUAGUAGGAGGUGAAGGUGCUUCUGGAGGAGUAUAAACAGGGGGAGGAGUUUGAUGAGGUGGAUAAGGAGCUUUUGGAGGAGAAUAUGGAGGAGGCUCUCUCACAGCCAACACCACAAUAAUAAGUUUCUGACCCUUCUCACAAUUAUAAUCUUUUCCACUGAUGAAAUAAAAG
rnacentral:lncRNA from 1 species